rnacentral:lncRNA from 1 species
AUUGUUCUUGUUCUUGUAUUAUUGUUCUUGUUCUUAUAUUAUUUCAUAACACGUUAUCAGCACGAGUCUCUAACCAAUUGAAAUUUUUGAUUGUCUUGACUUUUGUUUGUGUAGGGCUUCACGUGAGGUUCUGCCGUAACCAAAUCCCAAAAUUUUCUAUACGGAAAAAUAGAAGAGAUGGUAUCAUCAUAAAGUAAUGCAA